rnacentral:lncRNA from 10 species
UCGUUCACACACCCACUCAUUUACACACCAACUCACCCACUCGUUCACACACCCUCUCAUUCACACACUAACUCACCUACUCAUUCACACACUAACCCAUUCAUUCACACACUCACCCACUCAUUCACACACUAACUCACCCACCCACUCAUUCACACACUAACUCACCCACUUGUUCACACACCCAUUCACACACUAACUCACCCACUCAUUCACACACUAACUCCCCCACUCAUUCACAAACUCGCCCACUCGUUCACACACUAACUCACCCACUCAUUCACACACUAACCCAUUCAUUCA